GUCACCCAGGCUGGAGUGCAGUGGCGUGAUCUCAGCUCAAUGCAAGGUCCGCCUCCUGGGUUCACCCCAUUCUCCUGCUUCAGUCUCCUGAGUAGCUGGGACUACAGAUGCCCGCCACCACGCCUGGCUAAUUUUGUUUUUGUACUUUUAGUAGAGAUGGGGUUUCACCGUGUUAGCCAAGAUGGUCUUAAUCUUCUGACCUUGUGAUCCGCCCACCUCGGCCUCCCAAAGUGUUGGGAUUACAGGCAGGAGCCACCGCACCUGGCCUCAACUUCUUUUUUAACUUAUGAAUUGUUUAUUUCCGGAAUUUUCCAUUUAAUAUUUUUGAACCACAGCUGACUGAGGCAUGCACCAGAUCUGUCAUUUCUGGAAUCUUGUGCGAAUUGUGUAUCAACUUGAGGGUCGACGUUUAUUUCUUUCUGAACUUUCCUGGAGGAUCAUCGGCCAUACUCCAGCAGAAGGGUGGAUUUGAAAAAAUAACGUUUCCACGGCAACAGUGGCAGCAAUUCAAAUUUGACUUGGGGAAGAAGAAGAAAAGAAGGUGGAUUUCAGCAUGAAAGAAUCUAAACAGUCAUUAGUGAACAAAUGUGUAGCAGUGCUGUCCAACAGAACUUUCUGAAGAAGUAAUGGGAAUACUCUGUAUCUGUGAUGUCCUGUAUGGUAGCCACUGGCCUCACACAGCUCUUGAGCACUUGAAAUGUGGCUACUGUGACUGAGUAAUUGAGUUUUAAAAUUUCAUCAAUUUUAAUUAAUUGAAAUUUAAAUAGCCACAUGAGGCCAGUGACUACAGAAUUGAACAGCACAGGUCUCACAGAUGGACUAAGAGUAAGCCAGUUACGAAGAAGCUUAUACAGGAAGACCGGCUAAAAUAUGUCAAAGGAGAGUUUCUCUUUCUGAACUCCGAGGAGCUGUUCAAAUAAGACUGGUCUGGAGAGAGUUUUGGGUGGCUGGAGGUAUUUUCACCCCUCCACUUACUGUGCCUAACCUUAGUAUUGUUGCCAUUCUCACGUUUCUGUAUGACUCCAUCUCCCUUGUUCUGUUCCGAUGCCGCUUUUUCAGUUUUUCUGAGCUCUCAAUUAAACACAGUGAAAUGAAUCUCCUCCAAGUGCCUUUUUAGUGACUAAACUGAAUAGUUGGCUCAGAAUGCUACAAAGUCCUCUCCCUCAGGAAGAACCAAGUUUUACCAUUAAGAUCCUGAUAGAUUUACCAGCUUUAACUGACACCUCUUGGGGUGGCUUCCAGAUUCACACUUUCUCCUUUUUGAGAAGACUCCCAGACACACGGGGAUAGGUCCUGAGUGAUCAUAUUUGAGCCACACAAUCUUGUUACGCUUGCUGUAGAUCCAUGGUUCAAAAACAUUCAAGUGUGUCUGACUCAGCUGGAGGACUUGUGAAGACACAUGUGGUGGGACCCAUCCCUAAAGCUUCUUUUCCAGUAGGUGUGUAGGUGUGGCCCAAGUAUCUGCAUAUCUAACAAGUUCUCAGGUGAUACUGAUGUUGCUGGUCUGGGGAUUGUACUUUAAGAUAAUUAAGUCAGGGACUGUUGCCUGACAUAGGACAAUAAGCUUCUCUCAGGAAUUUGAAAUUUGGAACAAAGAGCUCGGAGUCUUAGUGCUAGUAGACCAGUGCUCUGGAGAGGUCUGAAAACUACCACUGCUUAGGUUCCUAGUUUGUCCAGUUCCUGUUUGUCUUGAGCCUUGGUUGUCUAAUCCUUUGAAUAAAUCCCAUUACAUUCUUUGUUUUGCAUAAACUGGCCAUAGAAAGUUCUUGUUGUCUGCCC
rnacentral:lncRNA from 1 species